UACAGAGGGGGCAAGCGUUGUUCGGAAUUACUGGGCGUAAAGGGCGCGUUAGGCGGCCUGUUAAGUCGAACGUGAAAUCCCCAAGCUUAACUUGGGAACUGCAUCCGAUACUGGAUGGCUUGAAUCCGGGAGAGGGAUGCAGAAUUCCAGGUGUAGCGGUGAAAUGCGUAGAUAUCUGGAGGAAUACCGGUGGCGAAGGCGGCAUCCUGGACCGGCAUUGACGCUGAGGAGCGAAAGCUA
rnacentral:rRNA from 1 species